ACACCCUUACUUUACGAGCACCUUUCGUUCUCCUUCGGCGGGGCAACCCGCCGCUGGACCCUCAUCAAACCUUUUUUUGCAUCUAGCAUUACCUGUUCUGAUAAAAAACAAUCGUAACAACUUUCAACAAUGGAUCUCUUGGCUCUGGCAUCGAUGAAGAACGCAGCGAAAUGCGAUAAGUAGUGUGAAUUGCAGAAUUCAGUGAAUCAUCGAAUCUUUGAACGCACAUUGCGCCCCUUGGUAUUCCAUGGGGCAUGCCUGUUCGAGCGUCAUCUACACCCUCAAGCUCUGCUUGGUGUUGGGCGUCUGUCCCGCCUCUGGGCGCGGACUCGCCAAAAAGGGAUUGGCAGCGGGCCACGGCCCCUCUCGCGCAGCACAUUGCGCUUCUCGAGGCGGCCCGGCCCGCAUCCACGAAGCCCACAUUACCGUCUUUGACCUCGGAUCAGGUAGGGAUACCCGCUGAACUUAAGCAUAUCUAAA
rnacentral:rRNA from 1 species